AACGAACGCUGGCGGCAUGCCUAACACAUGCAAGUCGAACGAGACCUUCGGGUCUAGUGGCGCACGGGUGCGUAACGCGUGGGAACCUGCCCUUAGGUUCGGAAUAACUCCCCGAAAGGGGUGCUAAUACCGGAUAAUGUCUUCGGACCAAAGAGUUAUCGCCUUUGGAUGGGCCCGCGUUGGAUUAGCUAGUUGGUAGGGUAAAAGCCUACCAAGGCGACGAUCCAUAGCUGGUAUGAGAGGAUGAUCAGCCAGACUGGGACUGAGACACGGCCUAGACUCGUACGGGAGGCAGCAGUGGGGAAUACUGUACAAUGAGCGAAAGUCUGAUCCAGCAAUGCCGCGUGAGUGAUGAAGGCCUUAGUGUUGUAAAGCUCUUUUACACGGGAUGAUAAUGACAGUACCGGGAGAAUAAGCUCCGGCUAACUACGUG
rnacentral:rRNA from 1 species